GUCGACGAUACCUUCGGGUAUAGUGGCGCACGGGUGAGUAACACGUGGGAAUAUACCUUUCAGUGGGGGAUAACAUCGGGAAACUGAUGCUAAUACCGCAUACGCCCUUAGGGGGAAAGAUUUAUCGCUGAAAGAUUAGCCCGCGUCCGAUUAGCUAGUUGGUGAGGUAAUGGCUCACCGAGGCGACGAUCGGUAGCUGGUCUGAGAGGAUGACCAGCCACACUGGGACUGAGACACGGCCCAGACUCCUACGGGAGGCAGCAGUGGGGAAUAUUGGACAAUGGGCGCAAGCCUGAUCCAGCCAUGCCGCGUGAGUGAUGAAGGCCUUAGGGUUGUAAAGCUCUUUCGACGGGGACGAUGAUGACGGUACCCGUAGAAGAAGCCCCGGCUAACUUCGUGCCAGCAGCCGCGGUAAUACGAAGGGGGCUAGCGUUGUUCGGAAUUACUGGGCGUAAAGCGCACGCAGGCGGUUCGAUUAG
rnacentral:rRNA from 1 species